rnacentral:rRNA from 1 species
UACGGAGGGUGCAAGCGUUAUCCGGAAUCACUGGGUUUAAAGGGUGCGUAGGCGGUGGCGUAAGUCAGUUGUGAAAUUCCCCGGCUUAACCGGCGGGACUGCGAUUGAUACUGCGUCACUUGAAUCAGGAUGAGGUAGGCGGAAUGUGGCAUGUAGCGGUGAAAUGCUUAGAUAUGCCAUAGAACACCGAUUGCGAAGGCAGCUUGCUGGACCUGUAUUGACGCUGAGGCACGAAAGCGUGGGGAGCAAACAGGAUUAGAUACCCUGGUAGUCCACGCCCUAAACGAUGUUUACUUGCUGUGCGGUCUUCGGAUUGCGUGGCGAAGCGAAAGCGAUAAGUAAACCACCUGGGGAGUACGCCGGCAACGGUGAA